UACGGAGGGUGCAAGCGUUAUCCGGAUUCACUGGGUUUAAAGGGUGCGUAGGAGGGCAGGUAAGUCAGUGGUGAAAUCUCCAAGCUUAACUUGGAACUGCCGUUGAUACUAUCUGUCUUGAAUAUUGUGGAGGUGAGCGGAAUAUGUCAUGUAGCGGUAAAAUGCUUAGAUAUGACAUAGAACACCAAUUGCGAAGGCAGCUCACUACUCAAUCAUUGACUCUGAGGCACGAAAGCGUGGGGAUCAAACAGG
rnacentral:rRNA from 1 species